rnacentral:rRNA from 1 species
CAGCAGCCACGGUAAUACGAGGGGAGCUAGCGUUAUUCGGAAUUACUGGGCGUAAAGCGCACGUAGGCGGCUUUGUAAGUUAGAGGUGAAAGCCCAGAGCUCAACUCUGGAAUUGCCUUUAAGACUGCAUCGCUUGAAUCCAGGAGAGGUGAGUGGAAUUCCGAGUGUAGAGGUGAAAUUCGUAGAUAUUCGGAAGAACACCAGUGGCGAAGGCGGCUCACUGGACUGGUAUUGACGCUGAGGUGCGAAAGCGUGGGGAGCAAACAGGAUUAGAUACCCGCGUAGUCCCUGUCUCUUAUAC